rnacentral:snRNA from 1 species
AGAUGUGAGGGCAAUCUGGCUGCGACAUCUGUCACCCCAUUGAUCGCCAGGGUUGAUUCGGCUGAUCUGGCUGGCUAAGCGGGUGUCCCCUUCCUCCCUCACCACUCCAUGUGCAUCCCUCCCAAAGCUGUGUGCUCGGUCGAAGAGGACGACCUUCCCCGAUAGAGGAGGACCGUUCUUCGGUCAAGGGUAUAUGAGUAGCUGCGCUCCCCUGCUAGAACCUCCAAACAAGCUCUCAAGGUCCAUUUGUAGGAGAACGUAGGGCAGUCAAGCUUCCAAGACUCCAGACACAUCCAAAUGAGGCGCUGCACGUGGCAGUCUGCCUUUCUUU